UCAGCCACGUGGAAAUAGUGCGAGCCAGGCC
rnacentral:piRNA from 1 species